rnacentral:rRNA from 1 species
CCGCUGAAAGCAUCUAAGUGGGAAGCUCGCCUCAAGAUUAGAUCCCCCGUCCUAUAAGGACAUAAGUGCACUGGAAGACUACCAGUUUGAUAGGCGGCAGGUGUACGCACAGCAAUGUGUUUAGCUUAGCCGUACUAAUGCACGAGGGCUUAACCUA